rnacentral:rRNA from 1 species
CACGAACGCUGGCGGCAGGCUUAACACAUGCAAGUCGAGCGCCCCUUCGGGGGAGUGGCGGACGGGUGAGUAACGCGUGGGAACGUGCCCUUUGGUUCGGAACAACACAGGGAAACUUGUGCUAAUACCGAAUGUGCCCUUCGGGGGAAAGAUUUAUCGCCAUUGGAGCGGCCCGCGUUGGAUUAGGUAGUUGGUGGGGUAAAGGCCUACCAAGCCUACGAUCCAUAGCUGGUCUGAGAGGAUGAUCAGCCACACUGGGACUGAGACACGGCCCAGACUCCUACGGGAGGCAGCAGUAGGGAAUCUUGCGCAAUGGGCGAAAGCCUGACGCAGCCAUGCCGCGUGAAUGAUGAAGGUCUUAGGAUUGUAAAAUUCUUUCACCGGGGAAGAUAAUGACGGUACCCGGAGAAGAAGCCCCGGCUAACUUCGUGCCAGCCGCCGCCGUAAUAC